GAUGAACGCUGACAGAAUGCUUAACACAUGCAAGUCAACUUGAAUUUGGGUUUAUAACUUAAGUUUGGGUGGCGGACGGGUGAGUAACGCGUAAAGAACUUGCCUCACAGCUAGGGACAACAUUUAGAAAUGAAUGCUAAUACCUGAUAUUAUGGUUAUAGGGCAUCCUAUAAUUAUGAAAGCUAAAUGCACUGUGAGAGAGCUUUGCGUCCCAUUAGCUAGUUGGAGAGGUAACAGCUCACCAAGGCGAUGAUGGGUAGCCGGCCUGAGAGGGUGAACGGCCACAAGGGGACUGAGACACGGCCCUUACUCCUACGGGAGGCAGCAGUGGGGAAUAUUGGACAAUGGACCGAGAGUCUGAUCCAGCAAUUCUGUGUGCACGAUGAAGUUUUUCGGAAUGUAAAGUGCUUUCAGUUGGGAAGAAAGAAAUGACGGUACCAACAGAAGAAGUGACGGCUAAAUACGUGCCAGCAGCCGCGGUAAUACGUAUGUCACGAGCGUUAUCCGGAUUUAUUGGGCGUAAAGCGCGUCUAGGUGGUUAUGUAAGUCUGAUGUGAAAAUGCAGGGCUCAACUCUGUAUUGCGUUGGAAACUGUAUAACUAGAGUACUGGAGAGGUAAGUGGAACUACAAGUGUAGAGGUGAAAUUCGUAGAUAUUUGUAGGAAUGCCGAUGGGGAAGCCAGCUUACUGGACAGAUACUGACGCUAAAGCGCGAAAGCGUGGGUAGCAAACAGG
rnacentral:rRNA from 1 species